UACGUAGGGUGCAAGCGUUAAUCGGAAUUACUGGGCGUAAAGCGUGCGCAGGCGGUGAUGUAAGACAGUUGUGAAAUCCCCGGGCUCAACCUGGGAACUGCAUCUGUGACUGCAUCGCUGGAGUGCGGCAGAGGGGGAUGGAAUUCCGCGUGUAGCAGUGAAAUGCGUAGAUAUGCGGAGGAACACCGAUGGCGAAGGCAAUCCCCUGGGCCUGCACUGACGCUCAGGCACGAAAGCGUGGGGAGCAAACAGG
rnacentral:rRNA from 1 species